ACAGUGGGCUGCCUGGGGGGCUGAUGCCACCAUUCCAGGAGCCUCGGUGAAGAGAGGAUAUCCAUCUGUGUAGCCGCUUCUCUAUACGGGAUUCCAGCUCAUCGGCUAUCGUUAGUGCUAGUGGAUUUUACAUGUGGCCCAACACAAUUCUUCUUCCAACGUGGCCCAGAGAAGCCAAAAGAUUGGAUACGCAUCAGACAGAUGGAAAAGGGAGAUUCAGACUGUUUUUCAGGGAGGUGGCUGGGUUUACACGCUAAUCCCGAUUCACCCUGUCCAAACUGCCUAAGCCCUCCGCCAUUCUCAAGCCCUGCAGUCACAGCUACACAGAUCACAGCUUCAGCCAGGAGCUGGGCAGAAGGCCAAGAGGCUGUUCCCACCAGGCUGCUCAGGGCUGGUCUUUUAGGACCCUUCCCUUGAGCCCUCUAUGGUGUGGCAAAGCCUUCAUUGCCUUAACUGGAGCCCCAUCAGCUCCAGCUGCUCUGUCUUCUUUGCCCACAAUGCUUUGCCCCUGAGACAAAUGGAG
rnacentral:lncRNA from 10 species